GGGAAGGGAAGGGAGAGACAUUGCCGGACCGGAGAAAGCGGAAGCAGCGAAGACUGAGAAGAGAGUGAAAGUUGAAGGGGAAAGCACCGCACAACAACAGUAGUAGUGAACGGAAGGCCAGAGCAUGGAGAUUACGGAAGAAGUGAGAGCCAUGAUCGAGGGCGAUGAAGCGGUGGAGCAACGACUGAGAGAGGGAAUCGGGAGCGAGGAGCUGGUGGAGGAAGAGAACGGCGGAAACCAAUGCAAGCAAUCGGCGAAAGAGCGGCAGGUAGAAGAUGGAAUCCAGAGAGAGGAAUUGGCGGAGGAAGUGGAGAUGAACAACAAGUAUGAGAGCAAUGGAGUGGUCGAACAAGUGAGGAGCGGAAUCGAGGGUACUGAAUCGAUUGAUGAAAAGAUUAAUAACGGGAAGAACAGCAAUGGAGUUGUAAAUGAAGUGAGAAGCGUAGUCGAGGGCGAGGAAUCUGUGGAAGAAGAGAUUAACGGUAACGAGAGCAAUGGAGUGGUAGAGGAAGUGAGAGAUAGAACGGAGAGCAACGAGUCAGUGGAAAGACCGGUGGAAAGAAUGGAGACGGAUGAAGCUAUGGAAGAAGGCGACAAGAAGAGAAUGAAGGCCGAUAGAGCGGCAGAAGAAGAUGAAGGCAGAACGAAGAGCAGUGGACUGGAGGAAGAGAAGAAGGAAAGAAUCGGCUCCGCGGAAUUGGCAGAAGACAAUGAGGAGAGAAUUGCGAUCGGCGAAGCAGUGGAUGGAGAGAGAGGCCAAAGGGAAAGCAACGAAUUGGUGGAAGAAGAGAGGGAGGCAGUCGAGUCUGAGGAAUUGGUGGGAGAAGAAGAGGAGGAAAGAAUGGAGACCGAUGAAGUGGUGGCAGAAGAGAGAGGCAGAAUGGAAAACAACGUGUUGGCGGAAGAAGGGAGAGAAAGAAUUGAGCCAGUGGAAGCGGUUGAAGAUGAAAGGAUGGAAAGAAUCGAUCCCCAUGAGCCGAUGCAAGAAGAAAGGAGGGAAAGAGUCGAGCACGAUGAAUCCAUGGAAGAGUUGAGGGACAAGGUGGAGUGUGAGGUAAUGGUGCAACAAGAAAGAGUAAUGGAAGCUACGAUUGAACCGCGGGAAGAAGAGGAAGAAGAAGGUCUGCAAUCGGGAUCUUUAGUUGCACCACUGCCUCAAUCAACAAACCCGCCAUUGUCUACAAUCGAGGUAGCUGUGAAGCAAGAAGAACAGGUGGAAGCACUGGAGGAGAAGGUGAAGGAUGAGGAGCAGGACAAUGUCGAAGGAAUGGCGAUGAAGGAAGCGGCGAGGGUUGAAAAUCAAAUGGAACUGAAGGUGGAGCCACAAGAAGAAGAAGGGGAAGAGGGUCUGCCACCAGGAUUUCACUCUGGGGAGUCAUCACCUUGUUCGAAAAAAGUAACGGUGAAGGAAGAAGUAGUGGGGAAGGAAGACGUAAAGAUGAAAGUGGAGGAGGUGGACGGUGACGAGGAAGAUGAAGGUCCGCCUCCGGGGUAUCAACUGCCCCCCACACAGGCUGAUGUGCUACCACCUGCUGCAAAAUCAAUUUCACCGCCACAACCACCAUCAUCACAGCAGCUGCGGCCACCAAUGGCAGAGGCACCUCGGCCUCCUGCUCCAGCUUAUGAGAUGGCUCAGAUGGUUUGUGGUUCUUGUCGGCGGUUACUUUCAUAUAUAAGAGGAGCCAGAUAUGUCCAAUGCUCUUGUUGCCAGACAGUUAAUUUUGUAUUAGAAGAGCACCAGGUUGGACAGGUCAAGUGUAGCAGCUGUGCGGUUUUGCUUAUGUACCCAUAUGGUGCUCCAUCAGUUAAAUGUUCCUCCUGCCAUUUUGUGACUGAAAUUGGGGAUCACAAUAAGAGACCUCGAUGGUCCGUUCAACAGGGGCUAGCUCCUCCACCUUCCAGUGCUGUUGCUUGAAGUGCGUCCAUCAAUUGGCGCAUUAGUAGGUGCUGCACCACAAUUGCCUUGUACAUCUUUAUCUACAAACUGAUGGAUAUAAGGUGGAACUGUCUCAAGACAUUUCGUUUCAUUUGGAAUCUCCAAUAAGUGCGGAGUUUAAAUGGCAAUUCAAAGGUAAGGGUAUUGCAUCUGUAGCUGGGCCAUCAUAUCUGCUGCUGUUGCAUCAAAAACUUUCCUCGCCUUGAAGUCAUGUUUUUUGGGUGCCGGAAAACUACCUAUAAUCCUACUUCCGAUCCAUUAAUAUCGGCAUCUUGAUUCUCACAUGGUAGUAUCUUCUAUGUCAAAUUCGGCUUUCAGGGGCAUCUCGAUGGCGAGAGAUGACGUCCGAUCGUUUAAAACUCUUUUCUUGAACAGGUGUGAAAGGAUGUUUUUCUUUUUCCGAAUAUAAGGGAGUUUCAUCAGCCUACCACGAGAAUAGUAAAAUCAAAAUAGAGGGACAGGGGAUGUCUCAUUGAUGAGAAUCGAAUUCGAAAUCUAAAGUUUUCAAGGCGACGAUUUGUGCCACUACAAUAAACUUUUUUUUAGUGUAAAAUGAUGUUUGACCACGCUAUUCGGAUGGUAGGUCGUUCAAAGUAAAGAAAGAAUGCAGCAACAGCGGAGAGCAUGAGUUUUUCAACGAGGCAGCGGACUGUGUGAAACGUGAAACACCUGAAGAUCGCCUCCCUGAUCCGUGAACAGAUAAUUCUCAAGGCUUAGGAUUACUUGAAUCUCUAAUCAACUUGUUCAUGUCUUUCUCUCUUCUUUUUUUUUUUUUCCUUUCCUUUUUCUUUCUUUCUUUCUUUCUUUCUUUAAUUUAAUUAAUUGCUGGUGAUUGCAGCUUACCGUGAUCGUUUCACGGCUUUCGCCUUCCUCAUAACUGCAUUAAAUCAAGAGAGAGGGUCGAAUGUAAUGGUAGUUUAUUCGGAAAUACGAUUUGGUGAAUUUUCCAUGGCUU